AAAGCAGACUGCAAUUGCAGUGCUUCCUUCCGUGGGAGCCCUGCCAUGUCCCUGCUGAGAGCAAGCAGCACUGUUCCCUGGGAUUCGAUCUCGCCUCUUUCCUGGCGAAACCCGUCUCCUUUGAGCAGUGACAAGC
ensembl:snoRNA